CUGCAGUCGAGCGGACACUUGGAGCUUGCUCCAAGCGUUUAGCGGCGGACGGGUGAGUAACACGUGGGCAACCUGCCCUGCAGAUCGGGAUAACUCCGGGAAACCGGUGCUAAUACCGAAUAGUUUGGGGUCCCUCCUGGGACGCUACGGAAAGACGGUUUCGGCUGUCACUGCAGGAUGGGCCCGCGGCGCAUUAGCUAGUUGGUGGGGUAACGGCCCACCAAGGCCACGAUGCGUAGCCGACCUGAGAGGGUGAUCGGCCACACUGGGACUGAGACACGGCCCAGACUCCUACGGGAGGCAGCAGUAGGGAAUCUUCCGCAAUGGACGCAAGUCUGACGGAGCAACGCCGCGUGAGUGAUGAAGGUUUUCGGAUCGUAAAACUCUGUUGCGAGGGAAGAAACCGUGCCAGCUAACUACUGGCACCUUGACGGUACCUCGCCAGAAAGCCACGGCUAACUACGUGCCAGCAGCCGCGGUAAUACGUAGGUGGCAAGCGUUGUCCGGAAUUAUUGGGCGUAAAGCGCGCGCAGGCGGUCCUUUAAGUCUGAUGUGAAAGCCCACGGCUCAACCGUGGAGGGUCAUUGGAAACUGGGGGACUUGAGUGCAGAAGAGGAAAGUGGAAUUCCAUGUGUAGCGGUGAAAUGCGUAGAGAUGUGGAGGAACACCAGUGGCGAAGGCGACUUUCUGGUCUGUAACUGACGCUGAGGCGCGAAAGCGUGGGGAGCAAACAGGAUUAGAUACCCCUGGUAGUCCACGCCGUAAACGAUG
rnacentral:rRNA from 1 species